ACAGCAGUAGCCGCGGUAAUACGUAGGUCCCGAGCGUUGUCCGGAUUUAUUGGGCGUAAAGCGAGCGCAGGCGGUUAGAUAAGUCUGAAGUUAAAGGCUGUGGCUUAACCAUAGUACGCUUUGGAAACUAUUUAACUUGAGUGCAAGAGGGGAGAGUGGAAUUCCAUGUGUAGCGGUGAAAUGCGUAGAUAUAUGGAGGAACACCGGUGGCGAAAGCGGCUCUCUGGCUUGUAACUGACGCUGAGGCGCGAAAGCCAGGGGAGCGAACGGGAUUAGAUACCCGCGUAGUCCCUGUCUCUUAUACA
rnacentral:rRNA from 1 species